AAAAACACGUAGAAAAAGAAAGUAAAAUUCUGUGGAAUUUCUAAAAGAGAGCCUUGGUAGCUGAAAAGAGGUGGAAGAAAACGAAUUUGAAAAUGGCUUUUGAGUGGGCAUUUCGAGAAAUGAUUUUAGAGAUGCACGGUUGUUCCCGUUACCAAGAAUCCUAAUAUCAAGUGUAUGCGGCGUAUUAGAGUAGAGGCAAAAAUCUCUGAUUUUUGUAAAUUAAGGUGGUACCAUGUAAGUUUAUUACAUCCUUAGA
rnacentral:ncRNA from 1 species